GUACCUUACUACUUGGAUAACCGUGGUAAUUCUAGAGCUAAUACAUGCUAAAAAUCCCGACUUCGGAAGGGAUGUAUUUAUUAGAUUAAAAACCAAUGCCCUUCGGGGCUCUUUGGUGAUUCAUGAUAACUUCUCGAAUCGCAUGGCCUUGCGCUGGCGAUGGUUCAUUCAAAUUUCUUCCCUAUCAACUUUCGAUGUUUGGGUAUUGGCCAAACAUGGUUGCAACGGGUAACGGAGGGUUAGGGCUCGACCCCGGAGAAGGAGCCUGAGAAACGGCUACUACAUCCAAGGAAGGCAGCAGGCGCGCAAAUUACCCAAUCCCGACUCGGGGAGGUAGUGACAAUAAAUACUGAUACAGGGCUCUUUAGGGUCUUGUAAUUGGAAUGAGUACAAUUUAAAUCCCUUAACGAGGAACAAUUGGAGGGCAAGUCUGGUGCCAGCAGCCGCGGUAAUUCCAGCUCCAAUAGCGUAUAUUAAAGUUGUUGUGGUUAAAAAGCUCGUAGUUGAACCUUGGGCCUGGCUGGCCGGUCCGCCUCACCGCGUGUACUGGUCCGGCCGGGUCUUUCCCUCUGUGGAACCCCAUGCCCUUCACUGGGCGUGGCGGGGAAACAGGACUUUUACUUUGAAAAAAUUAGAGUGCUCAAGGCAGGCCUAUGCUCGAAUACAUUAGCAUGGAAUAAUAAAAUAGGACGUGCGGUUCUAUUUUGUUGGUUUCUAGGACCGCCGUAAUGAUUAAUAGGGACAGUCGGGGGCAUCAGUAUUGCGUUGUCAGAGGUGAAAUUCUUGGAUUUACGCAAGACUAACUACUGCGAAAGCAUUUGCCAAGGAUGUUUUCAUUAAUCAGGAACGAAAGUUAGGGGAUCGAGACGAUCAGAUACGUCGUAGUCUACAUAAACUAUGCGACUAGGAUCGACGGGGUUAUUCUUUGACCGUCGACCUACAAGAAUCAAGUGCUGGCUCAGGGAUAUGCCCCAG
rnacentral:rRNA from 1 species